rnacentral:lncRNA from 1 species
UGACACAGACUUGGAAGAGAAGGCUGGGACUGCCUGCGUGAUGAGGGACCCAGUGAAGGGAGACACCAGAGAAGAUUCCAGGCUUUGAGCCAGGAUGGGUAAGUCGAGAAGAGGCGUGGAUUUGAAGGAAAGAGAGAUGACCUUGGUUUGGACAUCCUGAGUUCAAGGUGAGUGGAGCACAUCCCCAUGGACGUAAACAUCCGCGAGACGGUUUGCAGUGUGGGUCUUGAUUCUGGGAACCGUUUGCAGGACCGUAGUCUGAAGCCCUGAGAAGGGCGGAUGCCACUGAAUGUCAACGUGCCUCUUCUGAAUGAUCUGCCUCUGAGGUCCUGGGGCCCAGACGAUGAGCCUGAAGAACGGGAGAAAGGCUGGCAACAAGACAGGAUGGUGAAAGUAAACACUGGGACCAACGGAACUGGCAGCGUGUGGCUGCUCCUCAGCGGUACGAUACUUGAGGAGGCAACAUUCUUGGACUCAGGGCUCAGCCUUCAUUUUCCAGAUUUUGCUCUUCCACCCCUGAGCCUAAUCCUGACCAUGUCUUCUCCUUGAAAAAAAUGUCACACUAAUAAAAUUCACUGAAUUAUUAUUUAAAAAAAUAUU